rnacentral:lncRNA from 1 species
CGGGGAGGGAGGGGGAGGGGCCGGGAGCUGGGGGUAAGGGAGGAGUGAGCCUGGGUGCUGUGGGGGGAGGGGGUUGUUCAAGGGAUGGGGACGAUCAGGGUCUCUGGGAAGUGCUGACGUGUGCGCGUGUGCGGUGUGUUGCUUGUGGGUGCGUGUGUGGUGUGUGCAUGUGUGUGCGCGCGCGUGUGUGCGGGGUGUGCCGUGAGCGUGUGCCCGCGGUUCGGGGGAUGAGUAGGGGCGCUGACUUUUAGGACCAGCCAUUUGAGUCAAGCUGGAGACGACGUCUUAGAACCUAGGAUGAGUCUCGUUUGGUUUUAGUCUGCAAAGCUCGUCUGCAUCAGACAGGAAUUUUCCCCAGACGCGGGUGCACGUGAAUUAAUUCAUCAGAAGGCGGUUCACGGCCUGAGUGAGGGGGACGAGGGCGGCGAAUUCCUCCGCCUCAUUCCUACCCUGACGAUUCGAGGGUUCCCCAGAGGCUGUGGACUCCUUGCCG